rnacentral:misc_RNA from 1 species
GGAUGAGGAACACAGAAAGAAGGUCAAGGCCAAGAACGCACUGGAGAACUAUGCUUACAACAUGAGAUUUAGAGAUGAGAAGAUAAGUGCAAAGCCAGCAAUCGGAAUUGAUCUAGGAACGACAUACUCCCGUGUGGGAAUUUGGCAACAUGAUCAUGUUGAGAUCAUAGCUAAUGACCAGGGUAAUAGAACAACACCAUCUUGUGUCGCAUUCACUAAUACUGAACGUUUGAUAGGAGACGCUGCUAAGAAUCAGGUCUCUAAGAAUCCAACAAACACUGUUUUUGAUGCUAAGAGAUUGAUUGGAAGGCGAUACAGCGAUGCAUCGGUGCAAAGAGACAUGAAACUAUGGCCUUUUAAG